GGGCGGGUACUAAAGCGGUCAAAUAGAGCAGACUGUAAAUCUGUUGGCAACGCCUUCGGGGGUUCGAAUCCCUCCCCGCCCACCA
rnacentral:tRNA from 1 species